ensembl:snRNA U2 U2 spliceosomal RNA
AUCGCUUCUCUUCCUUUUGGCUAAGAUCAAGUAUAGUAUCUGUUCUUAAGGAAGAGCCUCGUCUCACCCCUCCUGACGCAGCAGAUUAUAAAAUUUGAUCAUUUAUUGGCCAAAAGCUGGCAGAAGCUUGAGAUGUUGUGUCUUGGGGGUGGACCACCGGGGAUGCAUAAACUUAC